UUGAGCAUACCUUCACGGAUGAAUAGAUCUCGGAAAAGUCUCUUCAAAUAGCUGUAGUCUGGUUUAUCUUCAAAUCGCAAAGAUCGACAGUAAUGGAAGUAUGAAAUGAACUCUGUGGGAUAAGAUUUACAGAGAACCUAUACAAAAUUUAAGCAUUUUCUUUUCACUAAUUUUGUCAUAUUUCUGUUUUUUUGUGCCAGCUUUUAGACCUUGCCAAGGAAGGCUGAGAUGGACAAAAAUACAUAAGCACAUAGCCCAGAGACUCUAAAUCAUCUCUCCUGCUUUGUUCUGUAAUGGGUGUUUACACUAGCAUAGCGUGCUGUUCCUGUGAGAUUUUUGUUCUCCCUAUGGUAUAUGCUUAUGAGUUUGGAGGUCCCGGUAUUUCUUUGCAAGACCAUAGUCGAUGACAUAAACCUGUUACAGAAUUCAGCAGUACUAGAAAGGCAGUUGAUAUGCAUAUGCUGAGUAACAGUAUGCACAAAUAAGAGAAAACAGAAAUAUUAUCCUUGUAUUCUUCAAGUUCUUACGAAAUAAUAAAACGUAUGGUAAAUCGAUGAUCACAGUCAGCAGUUUAAAUUCUCCAAAGUCUUUCUACAUUCAUAAAAAAGAUGUUUCUAAAAAAUACUAAAAUUUAUUAUACAAGAUAAUUUCUCCAUAAAGAAACUAGUAUAAUCAUCAAGCACACAGAGCACAGCUGACAGCUGUUGUUGGUAAUAUCAUAGCCUCUCUUAGAAAGUAUAAUUGAAGAUACUACUGCCAAUUGACAAAACUUCAUAGCACCAAAAAAGAUGAUACUUAGAAACCAGGCCAAAUACUCGAAUCAAGAUGUUAUCAAUACAAAAUUAUACAGACCAGGCAACCAACAACAUCCAAAGCGCAGAAAAAUAAUGAAUUAUAUCUACCAGCAACUGCAGAUGAAUGGGACAAACCUGGCUUGCUUUGCGGCCUAAACCCAUAAGGAAGUUGUCUGGCUUGAUAUCACGAUGUAGAAACCCCCUAGUGUGCAUGUACUCUACCCUGUUGAUCUGUAUAGAACAGGAACAUAAGUACUGUUUUAAGAGAAAACUUUCUGUUGCAGUAGUUGAAUAAGUCCUCUAAACUUGGACCAAGAAGAUCGAUAACCAUGACAUUGUACUCCCCCUCCACUCCAAACCACUUCAGAUGAGGAAUUCCAG
rnacentral:sRNA from 1 species